GACGAACGCUGGCGGCGUGCUUAACACAUGCAAGUCGAACGGAAAGACCCUGCUUUUGUGGGGUGCUCGAGUGGCGAACGGGUGAGUAACACGUGAGUAACCUGCCCUUGACUUUGGGAUAACUUCAGGAAACUGGGGCUAAUACCGGAUAGGAGCUCCUGCUGCAUGGUGGGGGUUGGAAAGUUUCGGCGGUUGGGGCUGGACUCGCGGCUUAUCCGCUUGUUGGUGGGGUAGUGGCUUACCAAGGCUUUGACGGGUAGCCGGCCUGAGAGGGUGACCGGCGACAUGGGGACUGAGAGACGGCCCAGACGCGUACGGGAGGCAGCAGGGGGGAGUAUUGCACAAUGGGCGGAAGCCUGAUGCAGCAACGCCGCGUGCGGGAUGACGGCCUUCGGGUUGUAAACCGCUUUCGCCUGUGACGAAGCGUGAGUGACGGUAAUGGGUAAAGAAGCACCGACUAACUACGUG
rnacentral:rRNA from 1 species